rnacentral:snRNA from 1 species
AGCUUUGCACACUCGCAGUAUCGUAGCCAAUGAGGUUUAUCCGAGGCGUGAUUAUUGCUAAUUGAAAACUUUUCCCAAGAAA